ACAAAACACCAAGGCGCUGAGAACGGCUGGAGGCUGACGAACUGCGACGGAGCAUGCGCGGCUGCUCGACGGCGUGAGGCUUCGAUGGACGACGACAGAGAGGACUGUGACUGAGAGAGGGGAGUGAGUGAGAGAGGAGUUUGUGCUUUCGGCGGCAUGAGUGAAGAGAGGAGUCUGUGGCCUUUUGUGCGCAGCGGGAGUGCUUUGAGAGAGAGAAGCUUAUUAGACCAGUAAGGUUUGGGUUAAGUGGGGGCAAAUGUAUCUACCGGUUCGAUUUGGUUCAGAUAUUUGAUGUUAGAAUUGAAA
rnacentral:lncRNA from 1 species